ACUUGUAUUUUUAGUAGUUUCUUAAUCAAAACCUAAGCACUUUGCGGGGAUGUAAAAGUACACUGUAAAACUUCGAAUAUCAAUGGAAAUUAGUCGAGACAGGUCUGGUAUAACAUUGGUGAGUUACAAACUACGUCUCUUCUUCAUCCGUUUGUUUUUCUAUUGGUAGCGGGGAACUCACGGCGGUUUUUUUUUCGUGAUUUUUAAAAAAUAAACCGUUCGCCGUUUGAAACGAAGCAACGAUUACACGACUAUUGCGGACGACAGAUUUGUACAUGUUAAACAGUUUUGG